rnacentral:rRNA from 1 species
AUGCAUGAUUGCACACUGCACCGUGCCCACCAGCAUCCAGCCAUGUCGCCGUUUGCGCCUCCAUACAACACCAACGUCCUCCUGGCUGCUGUGACCGCGCUCUCGGCGGCAAUCGCGUUCGUCGCUGCGCUCCACCUCUACGCCCGGUGCUUCCUGCAGCGUCGUGCCACCACCACCGCCGCCGCAUUGAGCAACCCUCACGCGCUGGCGCUGGCGCUGCAGCGGCCGCCGGACGGCUACGAGCUCGAGGUGAUCACAGUGGAUGCCGUGUGCGCGCCGGAGCCCGCUGGGCUGGGCGCCAAGGAGCUCGGCGCGCUGCCGGUGCUCGUGUGGGAGUCUUCGUCUGCCAAGGUGUCGGCCGCCGCCGUCACUGAGCAUUGCGCCGUAUGCCUUGGGGAGAUGGAGGACGGCGAGCUGGGGAGGCUGCUCCCGGCGUGCAGCCAUGCGUUCCACGUCGGGUGCAUCGACGCGUGGCUCCGGCUGAGCUCCACGUGCCCGGUCUGCAGGUCGGCGGUGAGGACGCAGGAGGAUGGGGCGGCGCCGGUGGCCUGA